UUCAUCGUCGUCAAAAAAUAAGCCUGUAAUUAGCUUAAAUGCAUUUGGACUACCUGUGGACGAACACUCACAUAGGUUGACUACAAGAAGUGGAGAGUUGGUUUGCACCCAUGUCUCUAUUGCCAUCAAGGAUUGGCGUGCAGUGCCAAUGAAUAAGAAAGAAGAACUUUGGAAGCUCUUACAGGACGAGUUUGUUAUUCCUCAGUCUUACAAGGAGAAAUGCUUUAAAAGCAUGUCUGAUAUGUUCAGGAAGUACAAGUGUAAAUUGAGGAUGAAGUUCCUCGAUCCUCAUUCAAAUCUUAAUUCCAAAUUAAACAACCGUCCACCAAGAGUUAGACCUAAAGAUUGGGAAAUGUUCAUUGAACAUAAUUCGGAUCCCAGAAUUGUAAAACAAAGGAAAAAAAUGCUGAGAAUAGGAAAAUUUUAAAAAUUUUACCAUACUAGUGGCAGGCAUGGCCACACGAGAAUUAAGGAAGAAAUGGUAAGUAUUGAUAGUUAUAUGUAACUUAAAUUUUUUAGUUGCUUUGUGUUCUUAAUAACUAACAAUGUGAAAUUCUUUCAAAUAUAGAAACACUAAAAGAAAGAUGGAUACACCCUGAUUAGGAGGACUGAAGUAUAGAUAAAAACCCAUACAAGAAAGGAUGGUUCUGUUCACAGUAAUGCGGCUUCACAUGUGGAAAAAGUCAAAGAGUUACUUGCUAGCGAAGGAAGUAAUUCCCAUGACAUCCUUAAUGAUCCAUUGACUCAAGUGUUUGGUCUUCAUAUAAGGGGUCAUGUUCGAGGUGUUGGGACCAUCGUUUCCCAAUCACAAAUCAGGGGGUCCGUUGCAGCUCUUGAAAAGAUCUCUUCAUAUAAAGGAAAAGUAGAAGAGCAGUUGUCCACAAUUCAAGAGCAAUCAUUCAAAAUUCAAGAUCUAUCUUCUAAAAUAGAUUUUCUUACAGACCAAAUUGGGGGUAUCAAAGAGAUGAUUCAACAGCAACACAUGGAUUCGGUUCAACCAGAGAAUCUACAAUCGACUGGUGGACCCUCAGUUGGAAAUCAUCAAUGUGUAGAGAGAAUGAGGCCAUUCAAGUUAUACUCUUGGCAUAAAGAGCUCGUUGCUCAAGGGUGAGUUAUUUUGGCAGAUGGGCCCCAAAUGAUUUAUGGCAAACCUCUUCAGGAAGAUCUUUACAAGGUUGCCAUUAAUAUCAUUAUCAAAGGAGAUGUCGAAUUGCCCGAGCCAGAUGGAUAUCAUUCGACUUUAGGCGAAGUUGGAAUUGGCUCAUUUGUUGCAUGGCAUCAUUGCUUUACUGAGUUCACCAAUUAGCGACAAUAGUCUAAUACUUUUUUGGACACUUAGCCUUUUUGGACUGUAUAUAUGUUUUGAUUGUAUAGCUUACUUGAUUAGUUUUUUCUAUAGAUUAGACAUGAUAAAUGCAAUGCAGGUUUGUGACAAAUGUGUUGAUGGCUUCGAUCAUCGCUACAUGGUAUCUAUAUAGGAGAGAUUUUCUUCUUGCAUCAGAGUUCAAUAUCAUGAAUGAUUAUAUGCUGUUAGGUUUGUCAAUUCAAGAG